GUACGUGGUCCACUAUCCCUGAAGUGGUUGUGGGUCCCAAACAAGAAAAAUAGGCCCGCCCACAUCUUCAGGGACAGGUAUCGCGAGCAACUAGCUUCCAUGUUGCCAGACCAGGUGGUGUGGCAGCCAUAUGAAGCUCAUUUUGACGACCUCCCGCCCUGGUGUGUUGCAGGGAGGGCCGUAUGGACGGCAACGGUGCCGCUUGUAUGUUUCCACCUA